CAGAGUUAAGUGAAUUUCAGGUCAACUAUGUUUAGAUGGGCUUUAAUGUAUAUGUGCUUAAUAACACAUUAUGAUGGGUCUUCGGGACAGGACAGAGUUGAACAGUCUUCAGAAGAAAUGACUGCGAGUGAAGGAGCUCAAGUUAUUGUAUGGUGGGUGAGUUUUGGAGAUGAAAUCACACCAGACAGCACUGAGGAAUCUGCUGCAGUGGGUUCAACUGUUACUUUAUCCUGCAGUUAUUCCUCUGCACAAUCACUUCAAUGGUACCGUCAGUCUCCCGGAUCAGCUCCUCAAUUUCUUGUGCUCAUAAUGGAGAGUGUGAAAGAGACUAGGACAUCUGAUGUAGAUCCCAGGUUCUCUACUAAGCUCAGAAAAGAAAAACAAGCAACAAAAGAAAUCAAACGUGUGGAUCUGGAGAUCUCCUCUGCUGCUGUAUCAGACUCUGCUCUGUACUACUGUGCUCUGAGGCCCACAGUGACAUGAAACACCAGAACACUGUACAAAAACACAACCAAUUAUAUGAAUUAUAGAUAGAUUAUGAAUGCACAUCAAUACUAUUGUAUGUGAAUACUAUUAUUGUUAUUUACUUACACUAUACUCUGUAAGUCCGCGACCAAAUGUUGAUUUAAAAACAAUUCAGCUUGAUUACAGUAUGUAUAGGCACGCCAAGUGAAUAUGCUUUACCACCAAAAUAAACAUCAUCCCUAAAUUUAUUCUGUGUGGAUAUGCACACCUAAACAGAGAUAAUAAAAAGUGCUAUAACAAAAACAAAAAUAAUGAAGAAUUAAUACAGAUUAUAUUGAAAAAUUCUUUAUCAUACAAUAGCGUUUGUAAGUAACCACAAGAGGGCGCAAUGUACUAUAGGAC